GCAGAUUAGCUCAAGGUAGAGCAUUUGUCAUAAGAUUAUAAAGGCUGGUUCAACUCCAGCAAUCUGCACCA
rnacentral:tRNA from 1 species